rnacentral:rRNA from 1 species
UACAGAGGGUGCAAGCGUUAAUCGGAAUUACUGGGCGUAAAGCGUGCGUAGUCGGUUUUGUAAGUCUGUCGUGAAAGCCCCGGGCUCAACCUGGGAAUUGCGAUGGAGACUGCAAGGCUUGAAUCUGGCAGAGGGGGGUAGAAUUCCACGUGUAGCAGUGAAAUGCGUAGAGAUGUGGAGGAACACCGAUGGCGAAGGCAGCCCCCUGGGUCAAGAUUGACGCUCAUGCACGAAAGCGUGGGGAGCAAACAGG